rnacentral:misc_RNA from 1 species
UUCAAAACCCCUCUCCUCCACGCCAGAGAUUUGGCCAGCAAACAACCAGCCUUCGACCCUCAACCCAAAGCUGCGAACAACCACCCGAAACCACCCUUGCUCCAACCACCAGAUCCAGGUCGGAGCGCCACGACCAAGACCCAUCAGAAAGCCACGAAAACCCAUCAAUAAACCAGAUCCAAAACCCCUUUCUUUUCCCGUUUUCCAGCAGCAGAUCCGGCGAGGAGCUUAAAGCUCGAUGAACCGGAGCUAAACAACACAGACAGCCUUUCCCCUUUCCCUUUUUCAAAUUUUUUGUUUGCAUUCACAUGUGUUUUCACCUUUAACUCCAGCAAGCUAAGUUCCAGCGAACAAGAGCAGUACCACCAGAUCUCCACCGCGAUGAUCUUCAGGCUCGAUGAAUCGGUGAACAACAAACCACAACCAGCUCCAUCUAACUGCUGCGAUGCUACUUUCAGUGACCGACGAAUCCCAACACACUGCAAACACCGGUGAACAACAGCCAUACUACAACAACUUUACAAUGCCCUACAACGGUGAAUCAGGUUCUUGGAUGUGACUACAGACGACUUGUACAAUUAUGAGGGAUUGCGACAAAGAAGAAAAAAUGCAAAAAUAAAGAAGGAAAAAAAAUAUGGAAAUUAAAGAAAUAAAGAAGGAAAGAAAUAAAGAAGUUAAAUUCAAGUCAAAUAAGGAAAGAAAAAAAAGGUUACAAUUCAAGUCAAAUAAGGAAAGAAAAAAAAGGUUAC